rnacentral:tRNA from 1 species
AGAGAGGUGUCCGAGCUGGCCGAAGGAGCACGAUUGGAAAUCGUGUAUACGUGUGAGCGUAUCGAGGGUUCAAAUCCCUUCCUCUCUGCCA